rnacentral:rRNA from 1 species
AGUGAACGCUGGCGGUAGGCCUAACACAUGCAAGUCGAACGGCAGCACAGUAAGAGCUUGCUCUUACGGGUGGCGAGUGGCGGACGGGUGAGGAAUACAUCGGAAUCUACUUUUUCGUGGGGGAUAACGUAGGUAAACUUACUCUAAUACCGCAUACGACCUUCGGGUGAAAGCAGGGGAUCUUCGGACCUUGCGCGAUUGAAUGAGCCGAUGUCGGAUUAGCUAGUUGGCGGGGUAAAGGCCCACCAAGGCGACGAUCCGUAGCUGGUCUGAGAGGAUGAUCGCCGACACGGGAACUGAGACACGGACAAGACUCCUACGGGAGGCAGCAGUGGGGAAUAUUGGACAAUGGGGGGAAGUAUGAUCCAACCAUACCGCGUGGGUGAAGAAGGCGUUGGGGUUGUAAAGCCCUUUUGUUGGGAAAAAAAAGCAGCAGGUUAAUACCCAGCUGUUCUGACGGUACCCAAAGAAUAAGCACCGGCUAACUUCGUG